CGCGAGGCAAAAUGAGAGAGACACAUGCAAACAAUGCGAAAGUAUAUGAUUUGCGUAGCCGUUCAGUACGUUUGAACGUAGGCGACACAGUAUAUGCCCGCAAUUUUGCGCAAAGCAACGCAGCUAAAAAGUUUAGUGCCAAACUCGCUCCUGUUUUCAUUAAAGCUAAAGUGUCAAAGAGAAUCAGUAACAUCUAUUUUGAGUUAGUAGACGAUUCUAGCAAGGUUUUGGGUGUUUAUCACCUAAAGGAUAUUCGAACUUAACGCUUCGCCGAAUUGCGACUGACCUUUUUCAGUUAAUACUUCGUCGAGAUAUGACUCUUGCUGAAUUAACUGUGGUGUAGGGGUCAGCAUAGAAAGCCAAAACAAAAUAAAUUGUACCGCAGCAGAAAAUACAAAUUGCCCUUAAAUUCGUUCAGGCCCAGUGUAAAAGCUAGAGUAGUAAUUCCAAUCGGUAAUGCAGAACUAGUCGACCGCUUCAAUACUCCCAGUUAUCUAACUAUCUCGCUCUCGCACACAUCCGCAAGGCACGCAGACAGAAUAGAAUAGAGACAGAGCCGGGAAAAGUCCCGUUUCUAGCGGUUCGCGCAAAUUCCAGUGCACAUCGACUGUACAAUGCGUAGAUCAGCUCGUUCAUUUGGUUUUGCAAUCUCGAAGUACUUAAACGUGCGAAAAGUCAUCAUCUAGUGCAAAGAAGUAAAGCCACGUGGACUUUCUUUAACCACGAGGGUGUUACAUAAAUCCCAGUUUGUGAACAAAACCAGAUAUUGAAGUCAGUGAAAUCAGUCUAUAUUUACUCGCUUGCUCAGGUCAAGGCCAGAACACGCGCUUGUCGCGGGCGCUCUCGCGCUUACAUUUGUUAAAUCACCCUUCUGGACCUGGCCAGCCUACAGUUCAGCGUGCAGCCACAGUUUAUGGGCGCGUUCAGCGCGCAGUCACAGUGACUGAGCGCGUUCAGCACAUUUCACGGCCAGUAACUUGAUGUCGGAACAGAACAGCACCUCGGCCUAGGCAACACCGCCUGAACCACCACAGAAUGAAAAUCGUCGCUAGGGACUAGCCAAUCCUAGCCAAGAUGCAGGAUAUUCACCAAAUCUGAACCGCCUCGCACAGCCGCUGAAUAGCCGCAUUUACCGUUUUGCUAUAAGCAAGCCCGCCGUAGCGCGCGCCGGCCACGUGCGGCUCAUGUUUAAGGAAAGUCGUCUCCCAGAAGUAGAUCGUCUUGAAGAGAGAUCCGCAGAAGCUCGUCAGCCGAACCGAAGCACGUGUGUCGCAGCCAUAUAAUUUAGAAAUUACGAAUACGGAUGCUGCAAGAGCAGGCAAUCAUUAAGGACCGCCAUCGUUUAAAGCCAUAGACAGAGAAGUCGUUUGCAUUCAUUAAAUUAAAAAACUUUAAGUCAGACCGUUUAUCUUAUACUAGUUAUGUUCUUUUUCAUAUAGUUGUAAAACAGAAAGCGAUCUGUAUACCGCCAGAGUAUAUCCCAUUUAAGAAUGAAUUAACUGCGCAUUUA